rnacentral:misc_RNA from 1 species
AAGUCGUAACAAGGUCUCCGUUGGUGAACCAGCGGAGGGAUCAUUACCGAGUUUACAACUCCCAAACCCCUGUGAACAUACCUUAUCGUUGCUUCGGCGGGAUCGUCCCGGCUGCCCGAUCUCUCGGGCUCCGGACCCAGGCGCCCGCCGGAGGACCCCAAACUCUUGUUUUAAUCAGUAUCUUCUGAGUAAAUAAGCAAAUAAAUUAAAACUUUCAACAACGGAUCUCUUGGUUCUG